UUAACCUCAAUGGAAGCCUCUGGCUAAAAUAAAAAUAUAAAAGAGGUCCUUACGAGACCUGAUGAGCAAGGCUGGCAGCUCGCACCAGAUUCCUACAGAAAGGGCCCAGAUCCUGUAUUUUCCUGCUUUCCGCGGUUUGGACAUCUUGGGAGAACCGAUCCUGAGCUAGUCAACAACCAAUCAGAUUCUCUCUACACAACCUGCGCAGUUGUGUAGACGGGUUCCCUAACUGUAAUGAGAGGAGCUGGAAUCCCGAGAUCAUGCCGAGCUGACGAGGACGUUUCCUAGGUCACGGGAGUGUGCUGGCGUGGUAUUCAAAUCCAGCCCUAUCUCAUCCCAAAGUCAAUUAUUUUCCAGAAAUAAUAAGUAUGUAUAUAUUAGUAAUUAGAUGGAGGAAAAAAACUCCUAAGGAACCUGAGAAUGCUACAGCUGCUUGCGGAAAACUAGGAAGACUUGAAUAAUGGGAAACGUGUCAGGAGAAGAAAGGACAUAAAAGCACCCUGAGACCGGGACAAAAGUUAACCAAGCUCCUACACUGCAUUCUUGACUACAUUUGAGGCUCCUACUACCCAGUAUUAUAACACGUUGUUUCCUUCCUUUCUUCACCUUUAGACUGUGAAUUCCUCCAGGGCAGGAACUUGGUCUUUCUCUAUAAUCCUAACAAUAGUAUGGCAUAUCGUAGACAUUCAAAAAAGUUUGGAAUGGAUGAAUGACAUCACUCAAAUAAGGAAGUUAUUUCAUUUCUGAGCCUUAUUUUAAAACUUGAGAGCACACCCUUCCCAAAAGAUGAAACAUGAAAAGAAGAAAGAUCACAUUGUUGCUAAGAGGAACUAAGUCCUCAAGUUUCUUCAGUAAUAACCAAAUUGUCUAGGUGGGCCCAGCACUGUUGUUUUAAGAUCUUGUUCAAUCCAUGUUAGGAAGUGUAGGCAGCCAUGGACCCAGCUAGAGGCCAGGGAUCAAACCAGGCCCUGACUCAUGCCUCCUGAGUAUCAGUUGAGUUGCGCUUGAGAAAGAGCCUGAGCUAUGGACCCUAAGACUCGCUGAUGUGACUGCCUGCAUGUAUUAAGAGGCUAGACUGGGUUGUACAUUUAACUGUUACAAGAUUACCCAGUACUUGCACGGAUUACAAAUUGCACCAUUGUAAACUCACGAAUUGCUAGUUACAGAUUAGCUAAGUAGACAAAAUUACUGGCGUCAGAAGAUCCGCUACCAGCGCUUGGGAAAUGGGUUUCGUCAAAGCUUAAGGGGUUUCAUGUGAAUGCUACGUGUGUAUGAACAAUCAACCGAAAAUAGAUACUUCCUUAUAAGUUAUAUGUUUCUGUUAACUGUAUAAUGCUUCACAGCCUUGAAUAAAAUUGGCACUGCUUGGACAUCAUCCACUGUGUCCCUCCUGUCCUCAUUUCUUUACAAGUCUUAUUCUCUCUCCCUUCUCUUACCCUCUCGACCCUGCUCGUGUGGUCGCACCGGCUGCGACAAGUGGCGCCCGAACAGGGACCUGAGCACAUACAAGAGGAGCUCAAGUUUUUAGGUGGAAAGACCCCUGACAGGCACUUGGAAGGGUCCUGAUCCUGUCCUCCGCAGAGGAUGUGGUUUGUCUGUGUUUUUCCUCAGGAUGAAGAUACCCCGUGCUGGCUUCCAGAAAGGUGGUGCCGAAUCCUCGCCUCUCCACCAGAGCAUGACUCGCCUCACACUGAACGGCCAAGGCAGAUGAGGAAGGAGAAGACGUCUCCCCCACUACAACCAGGGCCUAAUAGGGGUUCUCCUGGACCAGGCCCUGGAAAUAGCAAAUCAAACCCAACCCAGUGAAGCAUUGAUCACUACAGUAUUAACAUUAUUAGCUAUGGUUGGCCUCCCUUAUAGCGAGGCCACAGUUCAUUAGGCAUAUUUGCCUAAUCCACCCACUAUAAGGCCUGUCACUUGGGAUGAUCCCACUUCUCAGGUGCGUACUAAUGGCACUAGUUAUCUUGGGGGAAGUAGUGCUGAUGGUAUAGAAUCUGCAGAGCAUUUUAUUAAUUGGACAGGCUUAGGGCUCAAGUACCCAUAUGCUUCCAGCUGCCCUUUUCUGGCUAUGACCUCAUCAAGGGACGUGUGAUAGUGCAGUCUAGGUCCCAUAUAGUUACUUAUCUUGUAAGAGAUAUAGUAAGUGGGGUUAAUGGGUCUAAUUCUGCGAUAGGGGUGGAAAAAUGGAUUGUUUAUGGAGUCGUGGGAAAUAAGACUCCUAACA